GUAGGUGGCAAGCGUUGUCCGGAAUUAUUGGGCGUAAAGCGCGCGCAGGCGGUCCUUUAAGUCUGAUGUGAAAGCCCACGGCUCAACCGUGGAGGGUCAUUGGAGACUGGGGGGACUUGAGUACAGAAGAGGAAAGCGGAAUUCCAAGUGUAGCGGUGAAAUGCGUAGAGAUUUGGAGGAACACCAGUGGCGAAGGCGGCUUUCUGGUCUGUAACUGACGCUGAGGCGCGAAAGCGUGGGGAGCAAACAGGGAUUAGAUACCCUGGUAGUCCACGCCGUAAACGAUGAGUGCUAAGUGUUAGGGGGUUUCCGCCCCCUUAGUGCUGCAGCUAACGCAUUAAGCACUCCGCCUGGGGAGUACCGGCCGCAAGGCUG
rnacentral:rRNA from 1 species